AGUGAACGCUGGCGGUAGGCCUAACACAUGCAAGUCGAACGGCAGCACAGUAAGAGCUUGCUCUUACGGGUGGCGAGUGGCGGACGGGUGAGGAAUACAUCGGAAUCUACUUUUUCGUGGGGGAUAACGUAGGGAAACUUACGCUAAUACCGCAUACGACCUACGGGUGAAAGCAGGGGAUCUUCGGACCUUGCGCGAUUGAAUGAGCCGAUGUCGGAUUAGCUAGUUGGCGGGGUAAAGGCCCACCAAGGCGACGAUCCGUAGCUGGUCUGAGAGGAUGGUCGGCCACACUGGAGCUGAGACACGGUCCAGACUCCUACGAGAGGCAGCAGUGGGGAAUAUUGGACAAUGGGCGCAAGCCUGAUCCAGCCAUACCGCGUGGGUGAAGAAGGCCUUCGGGUUGUAAAGCCCUUUUGUUGGGAAAGAAAAGCAGCAGGUUAAUACCACGCUGUUCUGACGGUACCCAAAGAAUAAGCACCGGCUAACUUCGUG
rnacentral:rRNA from 1 species